rnacentral:rRNA from 1 species
AACGAACGCUGGCGGCAGGCCUAACACAUGCAAGUCGAACGCCGUAGCAAUACGGAGUGGCAGACGGGUGAGUAACGCGUGGGAACCUUCCCUAUGGUUCGGAAUAGCUCAGGGAAACCUGGGGUAAUACCGGAUAAGCUCUUCGGGGGAAAGAUUUAUCGCCAUUGGAUGGGCCCGCGUCGGCUUAGCUAGUUGGUGGGGUAACGGCCUACCAAGGCGACGAUCCGUAGCUGGUCGGAGAGGAUGAUCAGCCACAUUGGGACUGAGACACGGCCGGGACUCCUGCGGGAGGCAGGAGUGGGGAAUAUUGGACAAUGGGCGAAAGCCUGGUCCAGCCAUGCCGCGUGAGUGACGAAGGCCUUAGGGUUGUAAAGCUCUUUUGCCGGGGAAGAUAAUGGCGGUACCCGGAGAAUAAGUCCCGGCUAACUUCGUGCCAGCCGCCGCCGUAA